rnacentral:rRNA from 1 species
GGACCCGCACAAGCGGUGGAGCAUGUGGUUUAAUUCGAGGCAACGCGAAGAACCUUACCAGGCCUUGACAUGCCGGUCGCGGAUUUCAGAGAUGAUUUCCUUCAGUUUGGCUGGACCGUGCACAGGUGCUGCACGGCUGUCGUCAGCUCGUGUCGUGAGAUGUUGGGUUAAGUCCCGCAACGAGCGCAACCCUCAUCCUUAGUUGCCAACAGUUCGGCUGGGAACUCUAAGGAAACUGCCGGUGAUAAGCCGGAGGAAGGUGGGGAUGACGUCAAGUCUUCAUGGCCCUUACGGCCUGGGCUACACACGUGCUACAAUGGCGGUGACAGUGGGAAGCAAACCCGCGAGGGUGCGCAAAUCUCCAAAAACCGUCUCAGUUCGGAUUGCAGGCUGCAACUCGCCUGCAUGAAGCUGGAAUCGCUAGUAAUCGUAGAUCAGCACGCUACGGUGAAUACGUUCCCGGGUCUU